UGAUUUUAACGUGUUUAAGGUGUCGUAUUACGACUUAAUAGGGAAUCCGGUUAAAAUCCGGAACUGUACCCGCAACUGUAAAUGCUGAUGAAAUAAGUAAACCACUGUAGAGAAAUCUAUGGGAAGGACUUAGAGUAAAGCGAAGCAUGAGUCAGGAGACCUGCCUUUUUCACUGGUUUGCC
rnacentral:ncRNA from 2 species